UACGGAGGGGGCGAGCGUUAUUCGGAAUUAUUGGGCGUAAGGGGCGCGUAGGCGGCUUCGUAAGUCAAAGGUGAAAUCCCUCGGCUCAACUGAGGAACUGCCUUUGAAACUGUGAGGCUUGAGGCCGGGAGGGGGUAGCGGAAUUCCCAGUGUAGCGGUGAAAUGCGUAGAUACUGGGAGGAACACCAGUGGCGAAGGCGGCUACCUGGACCGGUUCUGACGCUGAGGCGCGAAAGCGUGGGUAGCAAACAGG
rnacentral:rRNA from 1 species